rnacentral:lncRNA from 12 species
CCUUUAUGAUGCUGACAUAUUUCUUUUAAACUGGAAGUUCAGUUUAAAAGUUUGGAUAUAUUCAGCUUAACCAUCUUUGCAAACAUACUUCUAAGUGAACUUAUUGCACACAAUGGACAGAUUGCCUCACAGAUCCCACCAUUUUGAAAGAUUUACUGUGCUGUUGCUGUCUUGUCUUUAUGAGAAAAAAAUAGUUCUGCUGAUACACAGGACAGAGGCUGCAAAUAGACUGGAUACAUGAUUCCAUAAACAUGAAUUGAAAACUUUAUUAUUUAUCGAGAGCUGUACAAGGACCAGUGAGCUCUA